GUGAAAGCCCCGGGCUCCAGCUGGGAACUGCAUUUCGAACUGGCAAAACUAGAUGUGAUAGAGGUNGUAGAAUUUCAGUGUAGCGUGAAAUGCGUAGAGAUCUGAAGGAAUACCGAUGGCGAAGGCAGCCACCUGGGUCAACACUGACGCUCAUGUACGAAGCGUGGGGAGCAACAGGAUUAGAUACCCUGGUAGUCCACGCCGUAAACGAUGUCUACUAGAAGCUCGGAACCUCGGUUCUGUUUUUCAAANUAACGCAUUAAGUAGACCGCCUGGGGAGUACGGCCGCAAGGUUAAAACUCAAAUGAAUUGACGGGGGCCGCACAAGCGGUGGAGCAUGUGGUUUAAUUCGAUGCAACGCGAAGAACCUUACCUACACUU
rnacentral:rRNA from 1 species